rnacentral:misc_RNA from 1 species
UCUCCGUAGGUGAACCUGCGGAGGGAUCGUUACUGAGUGAGGGCCCCCGGCCCGACCUCCAACCCUUUGUGAAUUCGACCCAGUUGCCUCGGGGGCGACCCGGCCUUCGGGCGUCGGGGCCCCCGGUGGACCACCCAACUCUGCAUCGUUGCGUCUGAGUCGAAAUAUAAAUCAAUCAAAACUUUCAACAACGGAUCUCUUGGUUCUGGCAUCGAUGAAGAACGCGC